rnacentral:rRNA from 1 species
CCUACGGGAGGCUGCAGUGAGGAAUAUUGGUCAAUGGACGAGAGUCUGAACCAGCCAAGUAGCGUGAAGGAUGACUGCCCUAUGGGUUGUAAACUUCUUUUAUCUGGGAAUAAAAUGCUCCACGUGUGCGGUUUUGUAUGUACCAUAUGAAUAAGGAUCGGCUAACUCCGUGCCAGCAGCCGCGGUAAUACGGAGGAUCCGAGCGUUAUCCGGAUUUAUUGGGUUUAAAGGGAGCGUAGGUGGACUGUUAAGUCAGUUUUGAAAGGUUGAGUCUCAACCGGAAAAUUGCAGUUGAGACUGGGUGUCUUGAGUGCAGUAGAGGUAGGCGGAAUUCGUGGUGUAGCGGUGAAAUGCUUAGAUAUCACGAAGAACUCCGAUUGCGAAGGCAGCUCACUGGACUGUAACUGACGCUGAGGCUCGAAAGUGUGGGUAUCAAACAGGAUUAGAUACCCGAGUAGUC